rnacentral:rRNA from 1 species
GACGAACGCUGGCGGCGUGCUUAACACAUGCAAGUCGAACGGAAAGGCCCUGCUUUUGUGUGGUGCUCGAGUGGCGAACGGGUGAGUAACACGUGAGUAACCUGCCCUUGACUUUGGGAUAACUUCAGGAAACUGGGGCUAAUACCGGAUAGGAGCUCCUGCUGCAUGGUGGGGGUUGGAAAGUUUCGGCGGUUGGGGAUGGACUCGCGGCUUAUCAGCUUGUUGGUGGGGUAGUGGCUUACCAAGGCUUUGACGGGUAGCCGGCCUGAGAGGGUGACCGGCCACAUUGGGACUGAGAGACGGCCCAGACUGCUACGGGAGGCAGCAGGGGGGAAUAUGGCACAAUGGGCGGAAGCCUGAGGCAGAAACGCCGCGUGCGGGAUGACGGCCUUCGGGUUGUAAACCGCUUUCGCCUGUGACGAAGCGUGAGUGACGGUAAUGGGUAAAGAAGCACCGGCUAACUACGUG